rnacentral:lncRNA from 1 species
AAUGAAGUAGACAGGUUUUCGGGAAGCCAUCUGUCACUCAGAUCCAUUUCUUUUGAACUUCUAGGUUGAUGGCUACUUCUGGAUGCUGACCCUGUCCGAAGCUUGAGCUCCAAAUGUCUCUGUUGCUGACAGGCCGUGGUACAGACUAAGGUUUCAAGGAGAAGAGAUUCUGGAGGAAGCACAAGGAGCUGCUUCUGGUGACGACUUUCUCGCCGGCAGAGGACUCCGGUACCAGGGGCAUCACAUGGUGAGAGUUGGGAGUGCGUGGGUCCUUCCCGGCAUGAGGGAGACUCUUGAACAU